UACGAAGGGACCUAGCGUAGUUCGGAAUUACUGGGCGUAAAGAGUAUGUAGGCGGCUAGAUAAGUUAAUUGUGAAAGCCCAAAGCUUAACUUUGGAACUGCAAUUAAAACUAUUUAGCUGGAGUAUGAUAGAGGAAAGCGGAAUACAUAGUGUAGAGGUGAAAUUCGUAGAUAUUAUGUAGAACACCAGUUGCGAAGGCGGCUUUCUGGAUCAUUACUGACGCUGAGAUACGAAAGUAUGGGUAGCGAAGAGG
rnacentral:rRNA from 1 species